UACGGAGGGAGCUAGCGUUGUUCGGAAUUACUGGGCGUAAAGGGCGCGUAGGCGGCCUGUUAAGUCGAACGUGAAAUCCCUGGGCUCAACCCAGGAACUGCGUCCGAUACUGGCAGGCUUGAAUUCGGGAGAGGGAUGCGGAAUUCCAGGUGUAGCGGUGAAAUGCGUAGAUAUCUGGAGGAACACCGGUGGCGAAGGCGGCAUCUGGACCGAGAUUGACGCUGAGGCGCGAAAAGCCCAGGGGGAGCAAACGGGG
rnacentral:rRNA from 1 species